UAAAUUACCACUUCACAGUCGACUGGGGCCUCCUCUGUACAUGUUUGUUUUAGGUUGUUCAUCUUCUAUGCAUUUAUGGUUUAACAAGAAAGUACUAUGGUCUCCUGUCAAUUUUCUGAAGACUUUGCUGCUAUGAUUCUACAGGUGUUUAAUGAAUUUGCUGCCAUGGUUCUACAGGUGUUUAAUGACUUUGCUGCCAUGGUCCUACAGGAUACUAGAUUAUUUAAUGA